ACGCAUCGUUAUUGGUAGUCUUUACUACAUGGAUAUCUGUGGUAAUUCUAGAGCUAAUACAUGCGAAAAAUCCCGACUUCUGGAAGGGAUGUUUUUUUUUAAUUAAAAAACAAUGCCAGUCUACGGCUCGUUUUCGUGGUGAAUCAAGAUAACUUUUCUAAUCGCAGGGCCCGCGCGCAAGAUAUGUUUCAUUUGAGUUCCCGCCCUAUUACCUGUGGAUGGUAAGGCACCGCCUUACCUUGGGUGGAACAGGAGAAAGAAAAUUUUGGUUCCAUUCCGGAGAGGGAACCAGAGACCCCCCUACCCCAUGGAAGGAAGGGGGCAGGCAAUUAAAUUACCCAAUCCCGAGGCGGGGAGGGAGUGAAAAAAAAUAACGAGGCCGGGUCCUAUUUGGUCUCGUAGGUGGAAUUAUUACAAUUUUCCUCCUUU
rnacentral:rRNA from 1 species